rnacentral:lncRNA from 1 species
GUCACCGCUGCUCCCGUGGGCACCCUGGGGGCUCCUGUCUUCCACAGGAAAGCUCCAGCACUGGGAUGAUUUUUGGCAUGCAGAGGAGAACAAGGUGGCGGCGGCUGCAGCAAAAGCAACAGAGGCCUCAGAGAAGCAGAGGAAUGCCACCUGGUGUUAACAGUGGGGCCAAUUAAGGAGACCAGGAAUUAAGGAAAUCUGACACCUGUAAGGAGAUUAACCCAAAGGAGAUGCAAUGUUAUAUGGAAUUUCUGCUACAUGGGGAGCGACAUGUGGAUGAAACAGGCCGGUGAGCAGGUUUGGGCUCCUCCGGUUUCUGUCCUGAGAUGUGUGGCGGCUGCUCCGUGCACGGCUGGAGCUCUCUCCAGGAACAGCCGUCAGGGCCUCGCUGCAGCAGUAAUGGGCUUGGGCACUGUGUCAGCUCCCUUCAUACUGAUGAGAGCUUAUAAAUAUAUAAAUAUAUACGUAUACAUAUGGGAAGUUUUGCAGUCAAACCACACGGAUGUUUUCGGUGGAGCAGCCACAGCUCACUGCCCACCUGCCUGCCAUCAAAUCAAGAGUUUUCCAGCAGUAUCAGCAUCAAGCAAAUCCCUGCAAGAACCCUGGCAGGAUGGGGAGGGAGAGGGACACAUCUCCAUGUCCCCAGCCCCACGGAGCCCCCUGAGCCUGAAGGUUGGAGCAGACAGGGCUGGAAAAAAGCUCGGCCCCUGUGACCACGGUCCGGCAAAGCCAGGCGAGGAGCUGAGCACAACGCAGAGAUGCGUGCAGCUGGGAGGCCAGGAGUCAGAUUAACAAGGACGUGAUCUAUCAGCCACGAGUUGAGGACAAAAAUGGCUGAGUAGUGCUGGGAAGAAAGCGCACAGGCAGAGCUGGCUCUGGAGUGCCUCUGGGAUGAAUGCUUGUUAGGAGGCAAAUGCAGUCCUGGGUUGUGCGACCCAGGGCACCCGAGCAGAGGGGCAGGGAUUUAAUCCGUUCUCCCAGCACAGAGAUGGUUAAACCACGGUACUGCAGACAGCUUUGGGCAAAACAUCACAGAAAGGAAAUGGAGAAGCAGCAAAGGGAGGGAAUUGCAGCCUGGAGGAAGAUAAAGGGUUUAGAGAGGAUGGCUGUGAAGAAAGCGAUUAGAGGAAAUUAAACAUGGACAGGCUGGAGACAGAGGCUGGGGAGGGGAAGAGGCAUCUGGCUGUGCUGGUGCAAGGGCACAUUGCAGGGCAGAGGAAUUGUGCUCAUCGCUGAGCAGUGCCGGCUCAGGGAGGAAAGAAUGGCACCAGACAGAGCGGGAGGCUUACGUGCAUCAAUAACCAGCCAGGCAAUAUUGGCACCAGGACCAAUUCCGGACUGAAACCAAGCAGCACAAAUCCGAGGGGUUUGGAGGAGGCAGGAAUGUGUCAGCUCCUGCCUAGUGAAGCCCUAACGCAUGUGGUUUGUGAACCCGAAGGAGCUUUUAGUAGAGCUCUUCUGUCUCUUCUGUCUCUGUUUUUUCAACCUAGUGAUUAAAAGUCCAGCAUGGAGAUGCCUCUUCCCUUGGCCAAACCUCUUGCAGGGGGCAGACAACCGUGCCUUGAACUUGGCAGCCUCUUCAUCUGGGAAGUGCUGUGGCUGGUGGAUGCAUCGUCCCCAGGAUUUUGGUGUGCUGGCUUCUGAAGAGGCUGGAGGAGCAGUCCUUGUAGUGGGAAGGUUGAGGACAAGACUUGGACUCUCAGGACAGAUGAGGGUGCUCUCGCUUGUCCUAGUGAUGCUGUCAGAUGCUCUGGUGCUGCCUUGGUAAGGGGGAGGACAAGAGGAGCUCCUG